rnacentral:rRNA from 1 species
UUAAAUUGAAGAGUUUGAUCAUGGCUCAGAUUGAACGCUGGCGGCAGGCCUAACACAUGCAAGUCGAACGGUAACAGGAAGCAGCUUGCUGCUUUGCUGACGAGUGGCGGACGGGUGAGUAAUGUCUGGGAAACUGCCCGAUGGAGGGGGAUAA